rnacentral:rRNA from 1 species
AUUGAACGCUGGCGGCAGGCCUAACACAUGCAAGUCGAGCGAGCGGCGGACGGGUGAGUAAUGUCUGGGAAACUGCCUGAUGGAGGGGGAUAACUACUGGAAACGGUAGCUAAUACCGCAUACCAUCGGAUGUACCCAGUGGGGAUUAGCUAGUCGGUGGGGUAAUGGCUCACCUAGGCGACGAUCCCUAGCUGGUCUGAGAGGAUGACCAGCCAAACUGGAACUGAGACACGGUCCAGACUCCUACGGUAGGCAGCAGUGGGGAAUAUUGCACAAUGGGCGCAAGCCUGAUGCAGCCAUGCCGCGUGUGUGAAGAAGGCCUUAGGGUUGUAAAGCACUUUCAGCGGGGAGGCGUUACCGGCAGAAGAAGCACCGGCUAACUCCGUGCCAGCAGCCGCGGUAAUUC